rnacentral:rRNA from 1 species
GACGAACGCUGGCGGCGUGCUUAACACAUGCAAGUCGAACGGAAAGGCCCCUUUGGGGGUACUCGAGUGGCGAACGGGUGAGUAACACGUGAGUACCUGCCCUUGACUUCGGGAUAACUUCAGGAAACUGGGGCUAAUACCGGAUAGGAAUCCUUGCUGCAUGGUGGGGGUUGGAAAGCUUCGGCGGUUUUGGAUGGACUCGCGGCUUAUCAGCUUGUUGGUGGGGUAGUGGCUUACCAAGGCUUUGACGGGUAGCCGGCCUGAGAGGGCGACCGGCCACAUUGGGACUGAGAUACGGCCCAGACUCCUACGGGAGGCAGCAGUGGGGAAGAUUGCACAAUGGGCGGAAGCCUGAUGCAGCAACGCCGCGUGCGGGAUGACGGCCUUCGGGUUGUAAACCGCUUUCAGCAGGGGCGAAGCUUGUGGUGACGGUACCUGCAGAAGAAGCACCGGCUAACUACGUG